CCACGUCAUCGGCAAACUCCCCAUCGGCAACAGUUAAUACUGGCAUCGGCAUAAACACAUCACUACCCAUGGACUUAGCCACAUCCAACUGCCUCCCCAUCGGCAACCAUCUUCAUCGGCAACUCUCCUGCAGACCAGUUACUAUUGCCCUUUCUUGCCGAUCUACAUUCUACCGAUCCUGGGUACGUGUCCAAAAACAGUGUCAACAGGAUGAUGAACCACC
rnacentral:lncRNA from 1 species